CCCAUCGCUUCCACCAAAAAAAAGAAACAAAGUUAAACAAACACGCCCUUAGCCUUAGGGUUAUCGACUUUGAAAUUCUAUGCCCUAAGCUGAGGAACAACGACCCUUUAAUCGCCAAUUGGAUCCGAUGGGGAGACUCUCUUCGGCCGUGGAAAUCCCCGACCGUCGCCGGUGGUCUCCUGAUGACCGGCGUGCUCGUAGCUAUGGACGAAGAAGCCGUAGCCGAAGCCCCAGUCGGAGCCGGAGUAGGAGCCGGAGCCCGGGGUAUAACCGGCGUGCUUCCCCGGAUUAUACAUACCCUAGCAUGGAGGAUACUGAAAGAUCCGGUGGUAGAAGGAAAUACAGAUACGAUGAUCCGAAGCAGCCCUACCUGGAUCGGGAUUACGGAAAUAAUAAAAAUCCGGAGUCUGAAUCGGAUGAAGAAUUGAAAGGCUUAGCUUACGAAGAAUACCGCAGGCUCAAGCGGCAGAAAUUGAGGAAAUCGCUCAGAAACAACUUUUGGAAUUGCACUCCUAGCCCCCCUAGGAAUCCGAAUGAGAAAUCGGAUGAAGAAUUGGAGGAAGAUGUUGGGGGCGACGUAUCAAAACAGCGUGAGGAUUUGAAAUUGGUCGCUAAACGUACUACGGAGACGGAAUCCGAGUCUGAAUCCGAAUCAGAGAAUACUGAGACUGAAACAGAUGAUUCCAGGUCGAGAAAGGGUAGGAAAUCUGGUUCUAGGAGGAGUAAGAGAUCAAAACAUGUGUCUGAGAGUGAGUCUGAAGAGGAGUCAAGUGAAGAAGAUUCAGAGGAAGAGAGGAGGAGAAAGAAGAAGAAGAGGAAAGAAAGGAGGAGUGGGAGAAGUCAUAGGAAAAAGAGCAGUCGACGCAGUCGGAGGAAGAGGAGAAGGAGGAGUUCAUCUAGUGAAAGUGAAAGUCUGAAUGAUAGUGAGGAAUCUGAAACAAGUGAUCAUGUGAAGCAGAAGAAAAGAAACAAUGGAUCGUCUUCAGGGUCCAAGAGAGCUAAGAGUAAGAGAGAAAAAGAAAUCGAGAAUGUAAAGUCAGAUGGGAAGGAUUCCAGUUCAGAAGACGAUGCUAACGAUGUUGCUCAGAAGGCAGAGGAACUCAAUCUCAGCGAUGAUGUUAAUGGCGAGCUGCUUAAGUUCAAGGAAAUGAUUGAGUUAAAAAAGAAGCCGAGCUUGGAUAACGAGCCAGUGGUUGGGCCAAUGCCUCUGCCGAGGGCAGAAGGACAUAUCAGCUAUGGUGGUGCACUAAGGCCCGGUGAAGGUGAUGCCAUUGCGCAGUAUGUUCAGCAAGGGAAGCGUAUCCCGCGUAGAGGUGAAGUGGGACUUUCAGCAGAGGAGAUUUCAAAGUUUGAGACACUUGGCUAUGUGAUGAGCGGCAGCAGACAUCAGAGGAUGAAUGCGAUCCGUAUCAGAAAGGAAAACCAGGUUUAUAGUGCAGAAGACAAGCGAGCUUUGGCUAUGUUUAACUAUGAGGAAAAGGCGAAGCGCGAGCAGAAGGUUAUGGCUGAUUUGCAGCGAUUGGUGCAGCGCCAUAUUGGGCAGGAUACAGGACCUUCUCAUGAUCCAUUCAGUGGAAGGGCCGGGGAGGACGUCGAUGAUUGACCGUUUAUCUUGUUAUUGGCUUGAGGUUAUUACAUGCCCCGGCGAUAUGCUCAUACGAUUUUGCUUCAGAGCUAUAGAGAGCAUCUUCAUGCACUGUUACUGUUUAAGCUAUUUAGUUAUAACUGAAACGAAGUGGCAAACAAACCAUGACACGAAAUUAUUUCCAGCUUGGAUUGACACAAGGAAAAGAAGCAUUUACAUGGAAGAGAACCGGCAGCGAAUCAUUCUCUCCACAAAGUUCUGAUCACAUUAACAUAUGACACCACCCACCCUCACACACACACACCACUGAAAAGAACAGCGUAAUGGCAGUAGGCCCGAAGAAAAAGGAUGGUGAGAGAAACUAAGGAAGAAGCAUAUCAUACUUUGGUGAGAGAAACUAAGGAAGAAGCAUAUCAUACUUUGUAGAUCUGUGGGCAUGGAAUUUGGAAGAGGUUGGGAGUUGAAUGGUAGAGUAAUGAUAAGUAGUUUUCAAGAAUGCCUCAAUAAAUACAUUACCACAUGACUUUAUAAUACACAGCACAUGUAUGGUAGCCUUGAAUUUUUAUUUAUUUAUUAUUAUUGUUUUUUAAUUAGUCUCUGUUUUGGCUUUAAAUCAAGUAGACUUAUCACUUGUAUUCAUGAUUAUAGCUGUUGAGGGUUAUGAUUAGAAAUAAUGUCACUAAACUUGUUAGGGGAAAUGAUCUAACAAAAAAUGAGAGAAGCCAUAGCACCACAAGAAGCUUUUUUGUACUUUACAGCUUUAUUGUCCAUUUAGUGCAUUACACUUGUUUCUUGGAGAGUAUUGAAUGAAAUUUUUGAAAAGAUUGAACAUAGAUCUUUAGUGGGGUAUUUAUGCUAUGCAUCUCAAGUUUAAAUAAACUUGAUCAUCAAGAAAAGAGUCAGGGUGGGUCUUGAUUGUUUUGUUGUUAGCAUCUCUUCAAUGAUUUAAUUGUUAAAGAAGCUAUUAAUAAAAGCAGGUAAGAUGCUUAAGAAUGAAGGGUUUUUAAUGUAGCCAGUGGAUUAAAUAUUUGACAUAUCAUUCACUAUUUUGGCUUGACUUCCUUAAUCAUUUCAUGUUAGAACCAAUUAUUUGAUUUAAUUUAAGUCACCACCAUUCAAUAUUGUGUAUGUAUGUAGAUAGUGACUGAAACAGGGGAAGGGGCAUUACCACUUUCAGAGACAGGGAUGUUUUCCAAAUUGCAGUGGCUGGUAAAUUAAUUAUGCUAUCAUUAAUGAGAAUGGAUAUGAAUAUAUGAUAGAAAGUAAACACAUAUAUAUAUAUAUAUCACAGAAUUAUCCAAUACAUAUUAUAAUAUGUAUGUAUACAUCCUAAUCAACAUUAAACUCAACACCUAACAAAUGGACACACACACACACACACACACGUAUAUUACAUACAUGUUUGUGUGUGUAUUCAGAGUAGUUUAGUUUAAUCCCUCCAAACCUUUAAGUCCACUAUUAGUGUAAAUGAAUCAUAAUCAGAGCUAUAAUAAAAUGCAAAUAGAGAUAGAAAGGCAAGUUUGGCUUGUUGUUAAAGCCUUUUUUUGUGAUCAUUUUUAGGCAUGCUGAAGUAUUCCCACUUUUGCUUUCCUUGUAUUAGCCAUUAAUAAAUCUUUCUGCUCAAACAGUCACUAGUCAGCCCUCUAUAAAUGCAUCUUCUCUAAAAUGUAGCUCUUCCCUUGACACUGUCAAUUCCCAAUUUGUACAUCUACCAAUGUGAUCUAAAAAAUUCCAAUAUUGACAAGAAUCAAUCCAAUGAGAGAGAGAGAGAGUGGGGUAGCCCGAUUUCAAAAACACUAGUAUAACAACUGGCAUCCUCUCUCACUCAUGCUUAUUAUUUUUCUUUCUUGGUCAGAUUGCCUUGUCCUAUACUGCUCAUCUCCUAGAGUUCUUCUCAGGCCUAUUUUCAAGAGAAGUG